GACGAGGGGUCCUAGCGUUGUUCGGAAUCAUUGGGCGUAAAGCGCAUGUAGGCGGCCUAGCAAGUCAGGUGUGAAAGCCCAGGGCUCAACCCUGGAAGUGCACUUGAUACUGCUGGGCUUGAAUAUGGGAGAGGAUAGUGGAAUUCCUGGUGUAGUGGUGAAAUACGUAGAUAUCAGGAGGAACACCGGUGGCGAAGGCGGCUAUCUGGCCCAAUAUUGACGCUGAGAUGCGAAAGCGCGGGGAUCAAAC
rnacentral:rRNA from 1 species